rnacentral:rRNA from 1 species
CCUACGGGGAGGCAGCAGUGGGGAAUAUUGGACAAUGGGGGGAACCCUGAUCCAGCGACGCCGCGUGAGUGAAGAAGUAUUUCGGUAUGUAAAGCUCUGUCAGCAGGGAAGAAAAUGACGGUACCUUACUAAGAAGCCCCGGCUAACUACGUGCCAGCAGCCGCGGUAAUACGUAGGGGGCAAGCGUUAUCCGGAUUUACUGGGUGGAAAGGGAGCUUAGACGGUGCAGCAAGUCUGAGGUGAAAGGCGGGGGCCCAACCCCUGGACUGCUUUGGAAACUGUAUGGCUGGAGUGCAGGAGAGGUGAGUGGAAUUCCUAGUGUAGCGGUGAAAUGCGUAGAUAUUAGGAGGAACACCAGUGGCGAAGGCAGCUUACUGGACUGUAACUGACGUUGAGGCUCGAAAGCGUGGGGAGCAAACAGGAUUAGAUACCCUUGUAGUC